rnacentral:tRNA from 1 species
GCGGGUAUGGCGGAAUGGCAGACGCACCAGAUUUAGGAUCUGGCGGGCAACCGUGCAGGUUCAAGUCCUGUUACCCGCA